rnacentral:ncRNA from 1 species
CGGAGACCGAUAGCGCACAAGUAGAGUGAUCGAAAGAUGAAAAGCACUUUGAAAGAGAGUUAAACAGCACGUGAAAUUGUUGAAAGGGAAGCGUUGUCCACCAGACUCGCCCGGGGGGGUUCAGCCGGCACAUGUGCCGGUGUACUCCUCUCCGGGCGGGCCAGCAUCGGUUUGGGCGGCUGGUGAAAGGCCCCGGGAAUGUAACACCCUCCGGGGUGCCUUAUAGCCCGGGGUGCCAUGCGGCCAGCCUGGACCGAGGCCCGCGCUUCGGCGAGGAUGCUGGCGUAAUGGUGGUCAACGGCCCGUCUUGAAACACGGACCAAGGAGUCUAACAUCUAUGCGAGUGUUCGGGUGUCAAACCCGUCCGCGCAGUGAAAGCGAACGGAGGUGGGAGCCCCUCGGGGCGCACCAUCGACCGAUCCUGAUGUCUUCGGAUGGAUUUGAGUAAGAGCAUAGCUGUUGGGACCCGAAAGAUGGUGAACUAUGCCUGAAUAGGGCGAAGCCAGAGGAAACUCUGGUGGAGGCUCGCAGCGGUUCUGACGUGCAAAUCGAUCGUCAAAUUUGGGUAUAGGGGCGAAAGACUAAUCGAACCAUCUGGUAGCUGGUUCCUGCCGAAGUUUCCCUCAGGAUAGCAGUAACGACAUCAGUUUUAUGAGGUAAAGCGAAUGAUUAGAGGCCUUGGGGUUGAAACAACCUUAACCUAUUCUCAAACUUUAAAUAUGUAAGAAGCCCUUGUUGCUUAGUUGAACGUGGGCGUUAGAAUGAAACGUUACUAGUGGGCCAUUUUUGGUAAGCAGAACUGGCGAUGCGGGAUGAACCGAACGCGAGGUUAAGGUGCCGGAAUGCACGCUCAUCAGACACCACAAAAGGUGUUAGUUCAUCUAGACAGCCCGACGGUGGCCAUGGAAGUCGGAAUCCGCUAAGGAGUGUGUAACAACUCACGGGCCGAAUGAACUAGCCCUGAAAAUGGAUGGCGCUCAAGCGUGCUACCCAUACCUCGCCGUCGGGUAGAAACGAUGCCCCGACGAGUAGCAGGCGUGGGGGUCCGUGACGAAGCCUUGGGAGUGAUCCCGGUCGACGGCCCUAGUGC